rnacentral:rRNA from 1 species
AGUGAACGCUGGCGGUAGGCCUAACACAUGCAAGUCGAACGGCAGCACAGUAAGAGCUUGCUCUUACGGGUGGCGAGUGGCGGACGGGUGAGGAAUACAUCGGAAUCUACUUUUUCGCGGGGGAUAACGUAGGGAAACUUACGCCAAUACCGCAUACGACCUACGGGUGAAAGCACGGGAUCUUCGGACCUUGCGCGAUUGAAUGAGCCGAUGUCGGAUUAGCUAGUUGGCGGGGGAAAGGCCCACCAAGGCGACGAUCCGUGGCUGGUCUGAGAGGAUGAUCAGCCACACUAGAACUGAGACACGGUCCAGACUCCUACGGGAGGCAGCAGUGGGGAAUGUUGGACAAUGGGCGCAAGCCUGAUCCAGCCAUACCGCGUGGGUGAAGAAGGCCUUCGGGUUGUAAAGCCCUUUUGUUGGGAAAGAAAGGCAGCAGGUUAAUACCCCGCUGUUCUGACGGUACCCAAAGAAUAAGCACCGGCUAACUUCGUG